rnacentral:rRNA from 1 species
UACGAAGGGGGCUAGCGUUGCUCGGAAUCACUGGGCGUAAAGGGUGCGUAGGCGGGUUUUUAAGUCAGGGGUGAAAUCCUGGAGCUCAACUCCAGAACUGCCUUUGAUACUGAAGAUCUUGAGUCCGGGAGAGGUGAGUGGAACUGCGAGUGUAGAGGUGAAAUUCGUAGAUAUUCGCAAGAACACCAGUGGCGAAGGCGGCUUACUGGUCCGGAACUGACGCUGAGGUGCGAAAGCGUGGGGAGCAAACAGG